CCCCUCUCAGGAUCAUCCCUGGAGAGUUUCCAGUACUCUACCAGUCUCGGCUACAGAAGGGAGAGUCAAGCAGAGGCCUGUCCAUUCCAUUCCUAUCUUUGGCAGCGGCUAGUGAGUGGAAGGCAACCUGCUACAAGU